GACGAACGCUGGCGGCGUGCCUAACACAUGCAAGUCGAACGGGGUAGAGAGCUUCGGUUUUCUACUUAGUGGCGAACGGGUGAGUAACGCGUGAGAAACCUGCCUUUCAGUGGGGGACAACAGUUGGAAACGACUGCUAAUACCGCAUAAUGUAUUCGGGGGGCAUCCCCUGAAUACCAAAGCUUUAUGUGCUGAAAGAUGGUCUCGCGUCUGAUUAGCUAGAUGGCGGGGUAACGGCCAACCAUGGCGACGAUCAGUAGCCGGUCUGAGCGGAUGAACGGCCACAUUGGGACUGAGAUACGGCCCAGACUCCUACGGGAGGCAGCAGUUGGGAAUAUUGGGCAAUGGGGGAAUCCCUGACCCAGCAACGCCGCGUGAAGGAAGAAGGCCUUCGGGUUGUAAACUUCUUUUAGCUGGGACGAAGAACGUGACGGUACCUGCAGAAAAAGCAACGGCUAACUACGUGCCAGCCGCCGCCGUAAUAC
rnacentral:rRNA from 1 species